rnacentral:sRNA from 1 species
GUAGAUGCUAUUCUUUCUGUUAAUCUGUUAAAUUUAGUUCCAAGAUACAGAACUGCACCAACUUGGACUUCUGGGCCCAUCUCUCUUCAUCUGGAUGUAGGCAGUUUCCCCUUCCUAAACUUAAUGUCACCAAGUUUAUAAAAUGUACACAUCUUUCUUUGCAAACUGCAUGAUACGAGUGCCUCACCAGCAAACAGAUAACCUGUAUCACUUGCUUCCCACAUGUGGCCCUUUAAAUUCUGCUGGCUUCCCCUUGUAGGUAUCCUGCAGACAACCAUUUUGUUUUCAGACAUCCUGGAUGGCAGCCCAUGGUGGCCAUGAGGAAAUCUGCCACACCUCUAUCCUCACAGCUACCUGAGCCUGGACCAUCACUGCUUCCUUAAUUGUGAAACAUGCCCCAGAGGUAGGUGUCCUGUGUUUAUGUGGCAGUCAUUGUUCCCUACCAAAGCAUGAUUCACCUUCGCCACCUUCCAACAUUCCAACAGUGGGUGCAGGGACUUGGGAAGAGGCAAUCCUUUCUCCAAGAUUCUCCCUUGUUGCUGUGACAUCCAUAGUCUUAUGCUGCCCCAGUCUCUGACUUAUUCUAGUCCUCACUGAACAUCAGAACGAAGAGAAGAACAUGGAAGUCGGACAGAUGAAGGUGAAAAAGCACUAUAAUCCUCCCCUGACUGAUAAUGUGGUAAUGGUGACCAUGUGACCUUUCUUAUACCCAACCAUCAUUUAGUCCCCUGCCUGUAGUCAUGGGCAGAGCUGGACCAGCAUAGACCACCAAAGCCUGUGGACUUUAACUCUGUAACCCAAAGACAGCAGAUGUCUUUUAGUAGGCUGGCCCAAAGACAGAAAGAGGAGGCAAGCAUGACCUCUCACAAAUUCUUCUGCCAGAAGUUGGCAGUGUUCUUGUAGCAGGCAGUGAGUGAGGUAAGCGCUAGCCAAGACGGUGAAUCGAUAAAGGCCUAUAACCUGGUGACUCUUUAAAUCAAUAUUUUAAAAAUAGUUGUUUAAAAUUGAUAUAAAGUAAAGGGGAGUUUUAAUAUUCUGCUAGUUCAUCUAUUUUUCCCUCUCCUUUUAUGUCACCGAUGACAUUAUGCGGUUAUAGUUUUAUGUAUUUUCUAAAUGCCUUUGGUCCUUUAACGGUGGGGCACUUUCAAAGUUUGUCACACGGGUCACACCGUUAACCCUGUGCUUGAGCUUCUUUGGGCUCUUUUGUUUCUUAGUUUUUAUGCCAGUCAUGAUUGGAAAACCUUAAUCACUUCAAGUUGCUGGGGACAGAAAAGAUCCACAUAGAAAUGUUUAUUAAGUCUUACUCAAAAUGCUUUAAGAUUUUUUUGUGCCUUCUAUACAGGUAAUUUUCAUUUCCCAGUUGUUUCUGCUUUAUGCAUUUUUUUUUGAACCAAAUAGUUUCUUCAGAAUCAUAAAGUAGAGCUGACGAGAUAGGUGAGGGAUGAAGCGGUUGUUUGCUACAAGUUCUACCUGAGUUGCAGCGACCACUAUUACCAGAUUGCUGUAACUGACUGAUACACCGAGUGUCUACACCGAGAGCUGAAAGGAGAGGCACUUCCUCACUUGAAGCUGCAGGAAUAGCUUUUCGUGGUUUGAUGGAUCUGAUAGUUCAUGUUCACAGUCAACCUUGCAGCCUUGGAAAAUGAGGUGUAAAUUCAAAAGCCAAGAAGGCAGGACUGUGAAGAGAUAUUUGCACAUGAAUAUUUAUAGAAUCAUUUACUGUAGCCCAAAGGUGGAAACAGGCAGAUGCUUAAGAACCAUCUUUCAAAUGGACAAAGGACCCUUUAUUUGAGAAAAUUAAGUUUGUCCAGUAAACAAUAUUCAUUGAGGAGAUUCUUCAUAGAUAGCACAUACGGUCAUAAAAGGAGAACCAGCUCAUUUUAACUUGGAGAUGGGGAAAUCACAGAACAAUGGCUGCCAGAAGAAAUUGUUUGCAGUUUGGUAGAAAACAGUCUUGCUGACUUGUGAGCAAUGCGAGAUGAUUUAGCUCUGAAGUACAAAGAAUAAAAUACCAGUCUUUCUGAGGACCCUUGUAAGUGAAAACCACAGUCAUGGCAGCUGAGCUGACUACAGGAGUUCAUAAAAUGCCAUGGGGAGCAGCUUUUAACUUCUGAAAAGCUGUUACAUAAGCCUGGGAAAUGUGCUAUUUUACAUUUCACUCUAUAGGCGUGGACCUCACACACCUCACCUGUGCACUAUCAGGCUCAAGAGGGAUUCUGUCAGACACUCAGCCCACUCUACUCCUACUUCUGUGGAGAAUUCAUUUGAGGGCUUAGGGAUGUGCCUUUGAGCUAAUUCAUAACAAAGGAUGGAAGUUAGUCACUAGGCAGAAAAAAAGUAAUUUCUCUAGAAGAAGUAUUUUCUUUUCCUGGGAUAAAUAUGACAUUUGUCACAGAUAAUACUGAAGGAUUUUAAACAGUAAGAUAUUUAAAUCUUGAAAAGUUUCUCUGUGUUUUUUUUUUUCCCCUCAGAGAGUUUAUGCUCUUUGGAUAGAGAAUUAAGGGAGAUUCAUUCUAGAAGCAGGUUGGUUGUUAAUGACCUUUGUUGACCUUGGGCAAGCCUCAGGUUGACAGGAUGGAGAUCAGUUCCUCUCUUAUACAUAGCUGUUGAAGUAACUCUUGACAGAGCCUACGUCUAGUUUGAGUUGGGCUUCCAGUCCCACCUUUUACCAGGAUUAUUUUCAUGAAAUGACGGUCACAUGGACCUUACACACUCUUCUCAGACAGGGGAAAAAGGAGGAAAAGUAUAAGGUGUCACAAGGAAUGUUUAAGACAGCAGAAGAGAAGAUACUCGGGGCUGGCUUGUAACCACAGUAACAAGGGAAGUUAGGUGUUUGUGAGUUUGCGCUGUGUGCUAAUUCUCCAAAGAGAAGAUUGAGGUGAAAGAGGAAACUCUCUAGUUGCCAUUCACAUUCAAGGAUAAAGGUCCUUCUGAAGGGAGUCCAAAAGAUAACUCCAUCCUUUUAUUGGAUUGGCGCUCUCCCCGAUCCUUACACUGGAUGCAUCAACUGCUUUGAUUGGAUCUUUCCUUAGCAGGGAUGCCGAACUCUACUACCAUUGGCACCUCCCUGCUAUCUAGUCUAGACUUCUCCUCAUCUGGCUCCUGUAGGAGCGUCUUACCUGGAAUCCACAUCUACAGUCUCUGCUCAGCGACUAACUCAGAGCCCAUCCAGUCACAUGGAAGGAAACCCAGUCAUUUCACUUUCCUGCUUAAAGCUCCCGACAUUGUAGCUCCCUUUAGAGUGGAAGUCCCUGUUCCAUAAGGUCUGUGGGACGUCACUCUUCCAGAGUCCUGUAGUUCCUCCAUUUCUCUCAUAGGAGCUUAGCAAUAUUACCUUUUUUUUUUUUUUGGCGUUCCUUAAUCUUUCUUAUGUUGCUUCUGUGUGUAUGUAUAUAGUAUGUGCAUGUGUAUUUGUGUGUGUGCUUACCUGUGUGUGCAUGAGUGUGCAAGGAACAGACAUCCUCAACUCACUUGUGCACCUAAUUUAAGUUUAUAAGAAGGAGUCUCUCACUGAACUGAAAGCUUGCUGUUUUGGAUACACUGGCUGUCUGUAGUCAGCCCUUGUGGAUCUACCACUCACACUACCACCCACCCCCUCAGAUCCCUGUUCUAAUCUGAACUCAGGUCCUCAUGCUUGGGAAGCAGCACUCUCCCCAUUAAGCCUAGCCACUCACUUCUGUCUCGGUAUUGACUCUUCUCUGCUGCAAGGCUUUCCUCAGAGAUACAGAGGCCUCAAGGCUGAUUUCUUCAUCUUGAAUUUUCUGUUCAAGUGAAACCUGCCCAUGAGGUCUUUCUUGACUACUCUAUUCAGACUCCUACCUACAUCUUCCUCUAUAUAUCUUUUAUUUAUUCUGCUUUUUCUUCUAUUUCUUUUCUGGCAUUUUGUACAGCUUUCUUAUGGAUUAAGCUUAUGUCUAUUUUUUUUUUGGCUAGAUAAGUAGAGAGGCUUGUUUUUCACUGUUAUUUUAAAUAUCCAAAUUCAUGCCUAGCACACUAUUUGGUGCUCGGUUGAUAUCGCUAAAUGACUGAGCAUGUGAAGGAGGUGGCCUCAAUGCUUUCGUGUUGCUGUUUUGUGGUUCUGUAAUUCAAAAUAAAAAGUACAACAAUUUCCUCAGUAACCUUUCUCUUCUGUUCAGUAACAGUAUUCAGAUAACUAAUUAUAUCUAUUUGGAUUCAAUAAAGGAUCCUAAAAUAGCAAUCCAACCAGUUAUCCAGAGGAAAGCUGUCAAGGCCUCUAAUGACACUCAGGCAGAAAGACAGGCAGAUGGACCACCUUCCUUCAGCCUUAGGAAAA